CGGUAACAGGAAGCAGCUUGCUGCUUCGCUGACGAGUGGCGGACGGGUGAGUAAUGUCUGGGAAACUGCCUGAUGGAGGGGGAUAACUACUGGAAACGGUGGCUAAUACCGCAUAACGUCGCAAGACCAAAGAGGGGGACCUUCGGGCCUCUUGCCAUCAGAUGUGCCCAGAUGGGAUUAGCUUGUUGGUGAGGUAACGGCUCACCAAGGCGACGAUCCCUAGCUGGUCUGAGAGGAUGACCAGCCACACUGGAACUGAGACACGGUCCAGACUCCUACGGGAGGCAGCAGUGGGGAAUAUUGCACAAUGGGCGCAAGCCUGAUGCAGCCAUGCCGCGUGUAUGAAGAAGGCCUUCGGGUUGUAAAGUACUUUCAGCGGGGAGGAAGGUGUUGUGGUUAAUAACCGCAGCAAUUGACGUUACCCGCAGAAGAAGCACCGGCUAACUCCGUGCCAGCAGCCGCGGUAAUACGGAGGGUGCAAGCGUUAAUCGGAAUUACUGGGCGUAAAGCGCACGCAGGCGGUCUGUCAAGUCGGAUGUGAAAUCCCCGGGCUCAACCUGGGAACUGCAUUCGAAACUGGCAGGCUUGAGUCUUGUAGAGGGGGGUAGAAUUCCAGGUGUAGCGGUGAAAUGCGUAGAGAUCUGGAGGAAUACCGGUGGCGAAGGCGGCCCCCUGGACAAAGACUGACGCUCAGGUGCGAAAGCGUGGGGAGCAAACAGGAUUAGAUACCCUGGUAGUCCACGCCGUAAACGAUGUCUACUUGGAGGUUGUGCCCUUGAGGCGUGGCUUCCGGAGCUAACGCGUUAAGUAGACCGCCUGGGGAGUACGGCCGCAAGGUUAAAACUCAAAUGAAUUGACGGGGGCCCGCACAAGCGGUGGAGCAUGUGGUUUAAUUCGAUGCAACGCGAAGAACCUUACCUGGUCUUGACAUCCACAGAAGAAUCCAGAGAUGGAUUGGUGCCUUCGGGAACUGUGAGACAGGUGCUGCAUGGCUGUCGUCAGCUCGUGUUGUGAAAUGUUGGGUUAAGUCCCGCAACGAGCGCAAC
rnacentral:rRNA from 3 species